rnacentral:rRNA from 1 species
UAGGGAAUUUUCGGCAAUGGGCGCAAGCCUGACCGAGCAACGCCGCGUGAGUGAUUAAGGCCUUCGGGUUGUAAAGCUCUGUUGUAAGGGAAGAAAAAUCAGUAGAGGAAAUGAUACUGAUCUGACGGUACCUUACCAGAAAGCCACGGCUAACUACGUGCCAGCAGCCGCGGUAAUACGUAGGUGGCAAGCGUUAUCCGGAAUUAUUGGGCGUAAAGGGUGCGUAGGCGGUUUAUUAAGUCUAUGGUGAAAGUGCGGGGCUCAACCCCGUAUGGCCAUAGAAACUGAUAGACUAGAGUGCAGGAGAGGGCAAUGGAAUUCCAUGUGUAGCGGUAAAAUGCGUAGAUAUAUGGAGGAACACCAGUGGCGAAGGCGGUUGCCUGGCCUGUAACUGACGCUGAAGCACGAAAGCGUGGGGAGCAAAUAGG